UACGAACUGUGCGAACGUUAUUCGGAAUCACUGGGCUUACAGGGUGCGUAGGCGGCUCAACAAGUCAGGUGUGAAAGCCCCCGGCUCAACCGGGGAACUGCGCUUGAAACUGUUAGGCUCGAGUCAGCUAGAGGUACACGGAACUUCCAGUGGAGCGGUGAAAUGUGUUGAUAUUGGAAGGAACACCGGAGGCGAAGGCGGCCUUCUGGGUCGACCCUGACGCUGAGAGGCGAAAGCGUGGGGAGCGAACGGG
rnacentral:rRNA from 1 species